CAUCUGGCCAAGGAAACUUGAAAGAAGCAGAAACCUUUCUGACCAAAGCAAUUGCAUCUAAUAGCUGGUCUCUGGAGUCUCCUCCUUCAGCUCUGAUUUGCCCAUUCCUCUGAGUUUUAUUUUGAAAUAUGUCAGCCUUGCUUUUUUGCACAUCUGCUUUUUCUAUUUUUACUUUUGACUAGAAUAGAGAAAGCAAACAGUAUAAAUGGUAAAUGCCCAUUGUUGGGCAUUCCGUCAUAUAUACAUAUAUAGAACUCUCUCCAUAAAUUUAUUCACCAACAUGUCUUUUAAUUGUAGUUGGAGAGCAAACGAGUGAACCAGAAUUCUAUAGGAAUUUUAUACCUCAGCAGCUGCUAUUAUUCUAUAGAUGAAUGAGAUUUCCGCCUGGGUUAUGCAACAGUGAACCCAGGAGCCAAAUCCAAUCAUGUCCCUGUUUAAAAACUCCUAGUGAUCCCUGAGAAGUAUGAAGAGCAAGCUCUCUGGCAUAGCAGGGAAGUCCUUCCUGAUCUGGCUGUUGUUUGCCUCUGCAGUCUUGCCUCUCAUCACUCACAUUCUUGGGCUUCAUGACCUGUUAAUACAGGUGUCUCAUCUCCAGCCUUGACACAAGCUAAUUCCUUCUCUCCAGUACACCACCCCCCUUCCAUCUUUGCUUAACGAGCUCCUUAAACCUUCAUGUCUGACUUUCGAUGAUCUGAGAAAUCCUCCCUCAACCCCUGAGACGGGAUUUGGUGUCCCUCAUCUGUGACCCCUUAGCACCUCACCCCUAAGGUAGUUUCACAUUAGAACUUCUAGAACAUGAAAGACGCAAACUCUCAUAUAAAUGCAUCAUGAGCCUACGCCAAAGAUUGAUUUUACUCAGGAAUGAGGGUGUCAGCAGGGUGAUAAAGCUGGGUCAGAGGAACAUAUGGGAAGCGGAUUUACGUGUGGUCAGAGAGAGAAAGAAUUCCGAUGUAAGACUGCUCAUUUAGAUCCCAAGCUGGAUAUAACGUUAAGUCAUGCAGGCAAUGAAACAUGACCCUUAGGAGCUGUCUUUUCCAAUGGACGGGAAUCAUCUACACCUUUACUAGACAAAAACUAUUUGCAACAAUAAUUAAGGAAUAAUAAUUAAAUCGCCAAUUAAGAUCUGACUUUUCAAGGACUAGAUGCUAACUAGUAGCAAUGGUUAGCAAAAUCAAGGGCGUCAGGUGACCUGUGGGCUGGCCUUUUAGACAGGGCUCCGCUAUGAUACGGAAAGGGCACAUUGUCAUCUUUCUGCAUAAAUUUUUGCAGCAUUAAUAUUCUGUAUUAAAAUGACCUGUUCUCUUGUCUGAAAUUCUCAGCAAAUUGAAAGCUUCUUAGGGACAAGAUUGUGUUUGGGGUCGCUUUUAUAGACCCUAAUCUUAGCUCAGUGCCUGGUAUGUAGUAAGCACUCAAUAAUUGUUGGAAGAGUUAAAAGUUUUCUUCUGUGAGGGUUAAAGUACCUCCUCCAAGGAGCUUAUCAAUUUCCCACCGAUUAGGUUAUGAAUGAUGGGAAAUUGCCACCUGAGUACCUCUCCAAUCCCAGCCAUGUGUCCCCUGUGACCCGCAGCCACUGAAGCAUUUCUCCUGCUUCCCGCUGCCGCACAAGCCGUCAUUGUCACCUUGCUGGGCAGACACAGAGGGCAAGGCGAAAGAAGCUCGUCUCCUAUACUGCGUCUCCACUGAAGAAUCAGGAAGAACGGGAUCCUUCCUUGGUCACACCCCCGCCUGUCCCCUGUCCCAGCAGGAAGGCUGGGAACCGCAGCCCUCUCUGGCUGCCUGUCUCACAUCUUUGUGCUGCUGCCCGGAGCACAAGGGCUCAUUCUAGUGCUAGAUUCAAGUCCCCAGGGACAGCUAGUGGGGCUGCCGGCACACAGCUCAUCAUUCUAAUAGGCUUAUGGGGCAGCCCGGUUUUCUCACAUAUAAUGAGCCUCUAUAAUUUAAAUCAAGACUAAGUUAUGCAUUGAAAUACUUGUUGCCAGGAUGGGUAAGCAGCCCUAUUUGUGACUUGUUUUUAUUAGCACAGGAGGCAGGUAAAACAUCAAUUGAUGGGCGGAGGAGCAGAGGCAGGCCUGAUUGUCAUUAUUCAGGGUCAGGGAGUGCCCAUGAUAAGGAGGGGGUGGGGUGGGGUGUGUUCCAAAUAACUUCAGGUUUUGAGGGGUCCAAAAAGGUCUGGGAAACAACCCGACUUGAAAUAGCAUGGCUGAGAGUGGCUUUAUCACUGUACAUAAUAUCUUUGUCAAUCUUAUAGAGACCUAGGAAAGAUGUCAUCAAAACAGCCGAGUUAUCCAGGCAAGAGUUUGCGACUUUAUGCCAAGCGGUAGGUUCCAAGAAGCCCAGGGUUGCUGGUGUAAGGUAGAUUUGGGACUAUUUAAAAGGAGAGGAAGCAGGGAAAGAAAGAAAGCACAGCAACAGAGGCUUUGUAUUUCUUAGGAGCAGAGUAGAACACUGGAAAAUCUAGGGAGUGGGUAACACUUGCUCUUGGAACACCCAGUUUCUCAUUCCCGGGCCUUUCCACACCCCAGGGAACCCCUUUCACCCUGUCUGCACCCUCCUACACCCUCUCCCAAAAUGCGAGCCAUUUGCCCCUUCACCAUGAAUUGGAGACUCUAUAUUCCCUCUCUUACAGUGGUAUUCACACUUAAGCGUUUCGUCUCUGUAAAAGGAAUCACUUUGCCAUAGAAUUUAACAUCCAUCCAGGAUCAUAUUUUUAGCAUCUUUUAAAAUUACUCCAGAACCAUAGGCAUAAACUAGAACUGUCCCAGAAAGGUCCCAGACAAACCAGACCUAAGGUCAUCUGAGAAGUGCAAAGCCUUGUCUCCUGUGUACGGAAUUUGGGUUAUCACUGAGCAAGCGGAGAGAGGUCUCUGAUGCUUCCCAAGGAGAGGGUAAUGGGAGGAAGUGGAAGGGAGCAGAGAUGUAUUAGGACACUCCCACUUGUGCUUAUUUUUCUCACAUAAUAAGUCGUCUAAAGGGAGGUGAUUCCAAGCAGGAUCAACCACGUCAGGGCUUCUCUGAGGAGCUCCUGGCACUCCCCCUCAUUACUGCAACAUGGCUGCCAAGGCACCAUACAUCAUGUCUUGACACAAGUUUGUUCAAAGGUAGGAAGGAACAGAUGCAGCUUUUCCUCUUAUCUCUUUCUUUUGUUACACAGAUUUUACCUUGCCCAGAAUUCCCUCAGCAGAGUUCCCCUCUAGUUUCAUUGGCUGCUAUUGCGUCACAUGACUAUUGCCAGAGCUAUAAGGGCUGCUGUUAAAAUGAGAACCUGCAUUUUCUGCCUCUGUGAUGGGGCUAUGGGUAAGGAAAGAACAUUGGAAUUAGGGACUAAAGAUUCUAUUUAUAAGCCAAAUACCCUUUGAGAAGUGAUUUAAGCUACCGAGCCUCAGCUUUCUCGUUUGUAAAAUAUCAAUUAGACAGCCCACCUCACAGAGUCAUUUUGAGGUUCCCAUGUGAUCAGGUAGGCAAAAGAAUUGAACCUGGUACCUAGCGCACAGCAGGUGAUCAGGGAAAGAUGGCUUCACUGGAAUCCCAGGCGGGGACUCUUCAGUUCCACCACGUUCUGUGGCAACGUGUCCCUUUAGAGCGUGAUCACUCUCAGCACAUGUUUUGCAAGGUGGUGUUUUUGCAGACUCAAUUCCUUAUGGCAGGACCAUAGGAGACCCCCAUCAACAAUAAGUGGGGCCCUCAUAUGUUGUGUGUGUCCCUGGCUCAGACCUCAGGGUGCGGCCCCCUGACCUGGGGUCUUAGGCCAGCCACCAAAGACAACACGAUGCCUAUGUGGCAGCUGAAGCAUGGGUGGAGCAGUGUGGGAAAACAGUACUGUAGGACCCAGUAACUAACCAGGGGGAAGACUAGCAACCUGGUGCAUCUGGAAUCAGAGUCGUGAAGGGAGGAGGAUGGGAGGACCUGUCUACAUCAGUGUAGUUCAGGGGAGAGGAAGGGGCUUUGCCAGACUGGGGUGCCCUGUGCUUUUCUCAGUAGGGAUGGCCAUUAGGUACCAGGCUAUGGUGGGAAGAAACAACUGGAAAUUGCAAUCUUCUCUGCUCAUCUUAACAGGCAAUAAGGAAUUGGAGUUACCGGUGCAGGCUCUGGGGUCACAAAGACCUGGGUUCAGAUACUGGCUCUGCCCUUGUCAGCUGUGCUAUAGUAAACACAUAACCCAAACAUCUCCAACUCUCAUUUUCCUCAUCUGUAAAAUGGGAAUACCCACAGUACCUAUAGCAGUAAGUUGCUGUGAAGUUCAAAGAAGCUAAUUCAUGGAAAGCUCCCUGCACAGUUCUUGACAUAAACUCGAAUUCAAUAAGGUUAGCAAUUUAUAUCAAUGUUUACGGUCCUGGACAGAGAAAACUUUUAAAGAAUGAGAGGUGGAGGAACAGAUCAAAAGGCAGGUGAUUUUGCUUUCUCUGCUUGUCCUUUUCCAUUUUGCACCCAAGAAGGCAGGCAAGAUUUAGCCCGUAUCCAGUCUUUGUGCCCUCACUUCAAGACACCCUCGGGCUAUGGAGUUGGAACCUUUUUCUUGCACAGACACCAAAUUUUCCAUCUCAGCCUGCAUCAGUGGAGCAUGAGAACACCCCACACACUGUAUUUGUGGCAUGUUUCUACGGACGCCAGCAAAGCAGGACUUCUAGUAAUGGGAUCAGUAACCUGAGUAGGAGAACUGAAAAGGCAAGCCUGAAUUGAUCCCGUCUGUCAUGUUCCAGGGAACAAUGAAAGCACAGUAAUGGGAACCACUGCCUUCUGACACGUUCUUGCCUGUCCGCCCCUGCUAGGUACUAUUAUUAACAGCAGUAUUAAAAAAUGCUUCUGACAUGCAAUAAAGUUCCAAAUGCUGAAGAGCUGCAGCGCGUGCCAGACACAUAAACGACCUGCCCCUGGUAGUUCCUGGGCAUGAAGGAUGCAAGACAAGGACCAAGUGGCAGAAAGCACCGUGACCACAGAGGGCUUCUUGUGGGCGAGGUGGGGAGAUUUUUCAGGGAUGUGCUGGAAGUGAACUAGACAGGCCUCGGCACCCACGCUCUGGCCAGCCAUCUCAUUGGAAGAGCUCUUUUUGGGAACUCAUUGGAGGGAUGACAGCAGACAACAGACAGUCCAUUUCGAAUGCCACCUCUGCCAUCCUGGAGCCUUGCAGGAAGAGCAAGAGAUGAGUCCAGCCUUCCAGCUAACAGGUUGGGCUGCGACAGAGGCUGCUGAUUGUUCCCCAGAGGCUAGUCUCUCUUUCUCUUUCUAGAAACACAGUUCUCUGAGUUGGCAGGGAACUCUUGGCAAUUGGACCCCUCAAGUGAUCGCUAGAGCCCCCCCUGUCUUAGACUCCAUGGCAGCAGGUGUGGUCACGCGGCUGUGCUCCUGCCAAGGGUUUGAGAACAGAAGCCAUGCAUGCACCUUGCAGAUCAUGGUUUUUUAUAUGGAAGCUCCAGGCCUCUGUUCUGUCUUCCCCUGCUGUCACCUGGCGAGGAGUGGCACCUCCGGGAGUAGCUGCCUCAGGCCCGGGGAAGGAAGCCGCGGUGGAAGAUGGCAGCUCCGUCCUACCAGCAUCCAGUCCUUCCAGAUCUAGACCGCUCCCCUCCUCUGCUCCAUUGGGUGGAAGAAACUCAAACCUCUCCCCUAAUUAAGCCACUCUAUUUUGAGGUCUCUUUCUUCUAGUAGCUUAUCCCAUUCCACAUCCUCAGGCCUGGCUCUGAACUCAAGGAAGAGAGCCACGCCUUCCAUUCACAGGGGGGUAAUAGUUUACACACACCCCCCCAAAUCCUGCACUCCCCUGUCUCCCUGACCCACUGGGCUCUGCUGAACUGGAUCCUUUCUGUUCCUUGAACCCAUUAGCUUCCAUCCCCUCUCCAAGCCCGUUCCUCCUGGAGCAGUUUGCUAGGGUUUUGGAGACAAGGUACCACAAACAGAGUGGCUUAAACAACAGAAAUCUAUUCUCUCCCAGUGCUGGAGGCUGGAAGUCCAAAAUUAAGGUUCAGCAAGGUCGAAUUGGUCAAAAUUAACCAAUCAGCAGGGUCGGUUCCUUGUGGGAAGGAGCUGUGACAGGCCUCUCUCCCGGGCUUGUAGAUGGCCGUCUUCUCCUGUGUCUCUGCAUAGCAUCUUCCCUCUAUGUGAGCCUCUGUGUCCAAGCUUCCUGCGUAGAAGGACACAGUCAUAUCGGGCUAGGGCCCACCCGCUGACCUUGUUUUUACUCAGUUACCUCGCUAAAGACUCUCUCUCCAAAUGAGAUCACAUUCUGAGCUACUAGGGGUUAGGACUUCAGCGUAUGAAUGAGGAGGGACACAAUUCAGACCAAAACAACCCCCCCUUUCGAACGUGGACUUCAUUCACCUGGUACAGAGAAGCACUCAUCCAUCUUUACUGAAUGAAUCAGUAGACAAAUAGUCUUCAUUUUCAUUAUAUCAACACCAUGACCAUUGUCAUUUGAAAUCUUUAACUGGCAUUUCUAUACUUUUGUAGCUGAUAUUAAUUGAUAUUCCACCUUUUUUUUUUGCUUUUGCUUUUUAGGGGUGCACCCACGGCAUAUGGAAGUUCCCAGACUAGGAAUCUAACCAGAGCUACAGCUGCUGGCCUAUGCCACAGCUAACACAGGAUCCGAGCUACAUCUGUGGCAUACACCACAGCUCACAGCAACGCUGGAUCCUUAACCCACUGAGCAAGGCCAGGGAUCAAACCGGCAACCUCAUGUUUCCUAAUUGGAUUUGUUUCCCCUGGGCCACAACGGGACCUCUCCAACUGAUAUUUACUUAAUACUAAUUUAUACUAAUGAUAAUAUCCUGGAAUUAUGACAAGAUCCAAAAUGCAAUUUGAAUAAUUAGACGAAGAUUACACCAUGCUCAGUAUAAUUUUAAUGUCGAUUAUAUUUUAUUCAUAUAAAAGUUGGCCAUUCAUGGAUGGUUUUAAAAUAAUCAUCAAAUAUCAAGAAUGUUUGUUUUUACUCUAGUCUAAAAGAACUUGAGGGUUUAAGUAAUACCAAAAUCAGGAUUUCAAUAAAAUGAGAAUAAAAACAGAUAAAAUUGAAUU
rnacentral:lncRNA from 1 species